rnacentral:rRNA from 1 species
GCAAGUCGAACGGGCUUAACAUGAAACCUAGUGAUUGUUAAGUUAGUGGCGGACGGGUGAGUAACGCGUGGAUAACCUGCCGUAUGCAGGGGGAUAACAGUUGGAAACAGCUGCUAAUACCGCAUAAGCGCACAGUACCGCAUGGUACGGUGUGAAAAGAUUUAUCGGCAUACGAUGGAUCCGCGUCCGAUUAGCCAGUUGGCGGGGUAACGGCCCACCAAAGCGACGAUCGGUAGCCGGCCUGAGAGGGCGGACGGCCACAUUGGGACUGAGACACGGCCCAAACUCCUACGGGAGGCAGCAGUGGGGAAUAUUGCACAAUGGGGGAAACCCUGAUGCAGCGACGCCGCGUGAGUGAAGAAGUAUCUCGGUAUGUAAAGCUCUAUCAGCAGGGAAGAAAAUGACGGUACCUGACUAAGAAGCCCCGGC